GACGAACGCUGGCGGCGUGCUUAACACAUGCAAGUCGAACGGAAAGGCCCUGCUUUUGUGGGGUGCUCGAGUGGCGAAAGGGUGAGUAACACGUGAGUAACCUGCCCUUGACUUUGGGAUACCUUCAGGGAACUGGGGCUAAUACCGGAUAUGAGCACCUGCUGCAUGGUGGGUGUUGUAAAGUGUCGGCGGUUGGGGAUGGACUCGCGGCUUAUCAGCUUGUUGGUGGGGUAGUGGCUUACCAAGGCUUUGACGGGUAGCCGGCCUGAGAGGGUGACCGGCCACCUUGGGACUGCGAUACGGCCCAGACUCCUACGGGAGGCAGCAGUGGGGAAUAUUGCACAACGGGCGGAAGCCUGAUGCAGCAACGCCGCGUGCGGGAUGACGGCUUUCGGGUUGUAAACCGCUUUCGCCGGUGACGAAGCGUGAGGGACGGUAAUGGGUAAAGAAGCACAGGCUAACUACGUG
rnacentral:rRNA from 1 species